AUAUCAUUAAGCGGAGGAAAAGAAACUAACAAGGAUGCCCCUAGUAACGGCGAGUGAAGCGGGCGAAGCUCAAGUUGAAAAUCGGGGCCUCUUCGGGGUUUCGAAUUGUAGUCUAUAGACGCAGCGUCAGCAAUAGCCCCUGGUAUAAAUCUUUUGGAACAAGGUAUCAUAGAGGGUGAGAAUCCCGUCUUUGACUGGAAGUUCGCCGCGUACGACCUGCAUUCAAUGAGUCGAGUUGUUUGGGAUUGCAACUCUAAAUGGGUGGUAAAUUUCAUCUAAAGCUAAAUAUCAGCGAGAGACCGAUAGCGCACAAGUA
rnacentral:rRNA from 1 species